rnacentral:rRNA from 1 species
AUUGAACGCUGGCGGCAGGCUUAACACAUGCAAGUCGAGCGGAGAUGAGGUGCUUGCACCUUAUCUUAGCGGCGGACGGGUGAGUAAUGCUUAGGAAUCUGCCAUUUAGUGGGGGACAACAUUCUGAAAGGAAUGCUAAUACCGCAUACGUCCUACGGGAGAAAGCAGGGGAUGUUCGGACCUUGCGCUAAAUGAUGAGCCUAAGUCGGAUUAGCUAGUUGGUGGGGUAAAGGCCUACCAAGGCGACGAUCUGUAGCGGGUCUGAGAGGAUGAUCCGCCACACUGGGACUGAGACACGGCCCAGACUCCUACGGGAGGCAGCAGUGGGGAAUAUUGGACAAUGGGCGGAAGCCUGAUCCAGCCAUGCCGCGUGUGUGAAGAAGGCCUUUUGGUUGUAAAGCACUUUAAGCGAGGAGGAGGCUACUAGUACUAAUACUACUGGAUAGUGGACGUUACUCGCAGAAUAAGCACCGGCUAACUCUGUGCCAGCCGCCGCCGUAAUAC